rnacentral:lncRNA from 1 species
GCUAUUAAUGUAUAGCCACUGUCAGGGAUGUUGUUUUCAUUAGAAGAAUCAUUUAGAUCUUUGAAAGCCAGGCAGAGAGUUCUCAGAGCUUCAGAUGCGAAGCCAUUUAUUACAUCAGUGAUAUUCCUGAAUUGCUCUUCAGAUAAAGGUACCGGUUCUCCGUUGUCAGAAACCACUUUGUCACACAUACUUAACACUAUUUCUGAAGCCCCUUUGCAGAAAGCUCGCAUCCCACCCGCUGGAAGAGCAAUAAGCACGGACAUCUUCUUUCUAACUGAAUUAAAAGGCUCAACCUUGACAAUCUUAAACUCUCUACGUUGAGCCUCAAAAUCACCACCCAGACGCAAGCCAAAUUCUAAUAUUGCUGACUCUGUUGGCGUUCCUAAAAUGGAAUUCUUGCCAUCUUUAUCUUUCACCACUUCCGAGCCAGUAUUUUGAAAUAUUGCCUGCAAGGUGAUGUCCAAUACUCUUUCAGAUAUUUCUAACUGCAAGAUGGCUUCUCUGUUAUUGCCUUCAACCUUUGAAAUUGUAUUGCAUAUCCAGAUUUUAUCAACUACCAUAUGGUUUGUGGUUAAUGUCCCCGUCUUAUCUGUACAAAUGCAGCUUGCAGAACCCAUUGUCUCGCAUGCAGAGAGAUGCCUGACAAGUGCCCGAUCAUUCAUUAAUUUCUUCAUUGCAAAGGCAAGGCUCAAUGUGACUGCCAAUGGCAAUCCUUCAGGGACAGCCACAACAAUUAUAGUUACAGCAACGGCAAAGUAGUCAAUCAGUGUCAAUGCAUCAGCUGAAGACCAAACUGUGAACUCAUUAUGAAUUGCUUUCACCCCCAAAAACCUUCCAGCCAAUACUAAAAAUGUAAGCACAGAAAAAAACAAUCCAAUUUUACCAAUAAUUGUAGCAACACCAUUUAGCUUCACCUGCAGUGGGGUCUCAUCUUCACCACCUUCAUUCAGAGUUUCCAUCAACUUCCCCCAUUCAGUCCUCAUACCAACUGUUGUCACCAGCAUCUUUCCUGAACCAUCUUGAACUUUGGUACCAGCAAGAAGAAAAGGAUUUUCUUCACAUAUAUACAUCGGCUCACUUUCCCCUGACAAGCUUGACUCAUCGAUAAGCAGCGAGUAUCCUGAUAUAAAAAUCCCAUCAGCAGCAACUUGGUCUCCAAUAGAUAAAUGAACAAUGUCUCCAACAACCAAAUCGUAAAUGGAGACCUUUUGUCUUUGUCCAUCCCUAGUGACCUGAAUGAAAAUCUUUUUCUUCUCUCUAUCUAAAUCCCUAAAUUGCAAAGACUGCUUGUAGUCACUAAUGGCAGUAACCAUAACUACCAAUAAUAUACUAACUAUGAUUCCCAGCCCAUCAUACAUGCCCUCUGGCCACCCUUCUGUAGCAAGUCCUACACCUAUAGAUAACACGGCGCAAACGAUAAGGAUAAUUAAUGUUAAAUCUUGCAGUGCAUCCCAUACAAACAUCAAAAAUGAUCUGGGAGGUUUCUCUGUAUAACGGUUGACGCCAUAAAUCUUUUGCCUGAUAGGUAAAUCACGUUUGCAGACACCUUCAUUUAGGGAGACAGAGAGUUUUUGUGCAACUCCUUCAACUCCAUCAUUAGAUUUCAAGCCUUUAAUAUCACGACCACGAACAAUAGCUGCUAGAUCAUCAGGUUCAAUACGAAAACCCGCUUCUCUAGUCUCCUCUGAGAGCUUGUAUUCAGGACGACCAGCAGCUGGACAAAAGCACAAAUUGAUUUGGGAAAAAGAAAUUAAAGAAUAAGAAUCAUAAGGUCCAAAGGCAACAGAAAAGCCUUGUGGACACUACAAGAAGGUGGAUAUCAUACCAUCAAUGAACUGUAAAGCUGCUUUUUGAACGUAAAGAGCAACUCGUAUUUUUUCCUAGGGAAAAGAGAAGAAAAAGAAAAGGAUGAGAUCAAAGAUAAUCACAUAAUAACUCAUGAACCCCAUCAUGAAGCUUGAUACAAUUUGGGCAGCAACACCCUAGCCUUCACUGGAUUCUAGUGUUGAUUAGUUUCAAAGCAUAUCCAUAUUGCUGCAUGGUCAAUUACAUUCAAUAUGGUGGCUAAAACUGAAAUUCAGAACUAAUAGAGGGUCAAUUUUUCUGAGGAGAAAGAUCCUUCUCUUCAUGAUCCGUUAAAUGUGUAACUGCUUUAUAUUUCCGCAGUUGUUACUUUUAUGUAAUUUUGCAACUGAGACACCAGUGAUGGAACAAGCUGCAUUGACAAAGGUCUCAUUGUUCUCACCUAGGUUGUAAAUAUCAAACAUAUCAGUUCAUAUGAAUGUUUGUGGUCUUCCCUAACUACUUGAAAAUCCAAGAACAAUGCCUAAAGCCCCAGAGAGGUGUAACUUACAAGGACUUAAAUUACCAUGUAUAAAAUAUUAGCAUCCAAUAUAUUGUUAUCUACAUUUACAAUAUUCAUACAAACUUCAUUGCUUUUUCUUUUUUCUGUCCCUCCCCCCCCCCCCCCCCCCCAACCCAAAACCUGUCCUGCAAAUUUGUGGUAACAAGAAUUUAACUCCAGGUUGCAUGUGUGCAAUGCAAAAAUACUGCACAAAUUCCUGAAGCGCUUAUCCUUUGUUCAUUAUUCAUCCAUGAACAUAAUGAAGAUCACAAUGACCUUGAAAAUUUAACCAUAGUAGUUUCAACCAAUCAAGAGCCAAAAAUGCUCCAUAACAUGAAUUCUUAUGCAAUAGAUAUAAUUCACACAAUUCCUUGAGCUGAGGGAGUGUCUAGUGGGAUGCAAAUAAGUGUUCUCUCGUUAUAUUCUGGUUAUUUGAAGAAAAAAAUUUAUGACAUAAAUUACAAAAGUUAGCUUCUAUAUUCAUCAGUUUUCGUAUACCCUGGGAUGAUGGCCACCAUCUACCUGCCCAUCUAGUGCAUUCUGCCUACAAAAAGUAAUCCAAUAUGAUGAUCUCAAGUUCUUAACCAUCAACCUAGCAUUCACUUUCAAAUACUUUCUUCCACCACUAAAAUGAUUCUUUUAUGAAUUUGAUUAAAAUAGAAUGUUAAAUUUGCCAACUUAACAUGACUGGCUAGAUCACUUAAUUCUAUGACUAGCAAAAUGUAAUUAAUUGGUAACACAAAAUUAUUCUAGUACAAUUACAACAGCCAAAACCGUGUUCAAACAGUGUUUAACCACUGUAUUAUAUUCUGUCAUUAUCAAUACCAGAUAAUGCAUGCAUUAUUCUAUGAACGCUUUGUUAGGUGAACAUAUAAAAUUACCAAUAGCUAAAAGACAACAAGUGCAUCGUUGAAAUCAUUAAAGAAAUAAUUAAUAAGUGUGAGAUCGGCAACAGAAUCUUAGGAAAGUUCUUAGAUAGGAAAACUGGGUUUUUUUUACUGGGAUUAGUGUAUUUAUAUAGCACUGCUCAGAUUUUAUCCACCUUCACCCACUUACUUUUUAUAAUUGAAGAAAAAAUUGUGACGCUCGAACCGUUGUCCUCAUAAUUGUGAGGCUCUAGCAACUCAGCCAAGGACUGAGUAGGAAAACUAAAUUUGAAUUCAUUGUUAGUUGAGGAUUUUUUUUAAUAUAAUUGUUAUUACAUAAAAAAUAAUAUAUAAUUAAAUCUUAAUCUAAUACGAUUAUAAAUAGACAUAACACAAGAGUAUAAAAAAAUUUAAUAUAAUUCAAUUAAACAUUAAAUUCAAAUUUCAGACGAACAUACCCCAUUAUCAUUAUUUCUAGCAAAAAAAAUUUACCAUAGUGUUUAACUUCAUUUUCAAAUUAAUCAAUUAUGACAAAAGAUUCCAAUAAAUGAGAAGCAGGACAAAUCUGAUAAGCUAGGUGGCAAACCGAUGAUUUUUAUCGAUAAGAAAAAUGUGGAAGUGCAGAAGGUAAGUAUUAUUAAGAGAGAGAAUUUAUUUGAGAAAAAAAUUGUGACAGAGUGUGAGCCGUCGUUAUCAACACAGACAAAAUUUCCCAUUGCAUCUCUAUCAUGUUAUUAAUGCUUGAUGCACCGGGAAACUUCAAGGAAGUUUCCUAGAUGUGAGGUAGCUAUGAAAGUGAAUUUAAUAAUACUGGCUCAGUAUGAAAGCUAUUUCUUUAUUUUUCAAAUUUCAAGGGUGGCUCAAAGGAACACGCAAAAGGCGAAACCCUUCUUGACUGAAAUUUCAAUACAACUAAUGACCGCUAAAACUUUGACAUUACAUGAGGAAUUGGAAUAAAUUAAUAUUUGCAUCAAGAAUAAGAAUCAAAGUAGUUAUUUAUCCAAACGAUAAAUUUUUAUUUUUGAGUUUAAUUUAUUUUUUAGUUACAACAAAUUAUAGUAAAUUAGUAGAAUGUCUUUAAUUAUAAUUAUGUAUUUAUUCACUAAUAAAAUAAAGAGAAAAUAAUUUAUAUAAUUAAUAUUAUUAUCUUUACCACAAUUAUUAUAGUAAAAAAUAAUAUUUAAUUAUUACCAUUAUUAUUAUAAUAUAAUAAAAUAAUAGAAAUUAUUAUUUUAAUAUUAGUAAAAUAAUUACGACUAUAAUUAUAAUUAUAAUCGCAAUAGCAAUAUUCUAAUUAUUUUAUUUAUUCUAAUGAUUAUAAUUAAUAACAUUAUCAGAAUAAAACUUAUUAUGAUGAUGAUAAUUAUUAUUAUUAUUAUUACUACUAUUAUUAUUACUGUUAUUUUAUUAUAAAUAUUAUAUAAUUAUCAGAAUUAUUAUUUUAAAUAUUUAAAUGAGGUAAGAAAGAAUAAAUUUUGUUUAAAGAUAAAAAUAUCAAUUCAACUUCCAUUUUCAUUCUUAUUCUUUUAUAUUUUUAACAAAUACUAUUAAUGAGAAAUGGGAACAAAACACACUAUAAUUUUAUUUUAUUUUUUUCAAGAUAAUUGCAUUGACGUAAUAAACGUAAGCUCUAUUUGAUCUUGUGGUUCAAUCUAUAUGGUGUUUUUUUCACAACAGAUAAAAAACCACCGCAACCUAAGGGCCAUAGAUUUUAAAACUCAAAUUCCUAAAAUUUCCAAAACAAUUAAAUGAAAUUCACUGUUAUAUCGUAUAGCACUUGCACGGUUGCACCUACCCAUGGUACUAAAAACCAACUUGAUAAAUAAAAUAAAAUAAAAUAAAAAGUGCUGUUAUCUUCUAUUAAAAGUGAGGUUAUAAUGGUAUUUACUGUUCUUGCCAAAGUCAGUAUUUUUUUCUCAAAAUGAGGGGGGAUUCCAUGUGAAGCGGGGUAGGGGACAGUAGACGAGUAGUUGAAUGCACAUUUUGACUUUUUAAGAAGGGAGACUUAAGAUCUACCGCGUUAAAACGUGGCAAGAGUCGAUUGGUUGCUGACCUACUGGUGCAUUCCAUAUGAAAAUGCAAACAUUGUAUAUGUGACAAAAACAGCUCAGUGAAGUUUUGAGAUGCAGCCCGCGCCAUCUCCGGCGCGGCGAUUAUUUCUAUACUUAGAAAUUUUGUUAAACAAAAAGGAUCUGCAAACAAACUGCCAACGGACAUACACUAAAACUAAAAUUUUUUGAAUUGAAAAAGACAGAGAGAGAGACAAAGAAAAUUUUGCCCUAAUCUGGAAAAAUGGGAAAAAAAAAUUUAAAAAGUUUCAAGGAUUAACAAAGAAUGUUGGUUUCUCUUUCUAAUAUUUCCGUUUUGGUUGCCGAGAAAAUAAAAAAAGAAUGAUAAAAUGAAUGAAGUAGAAGGGAGUAAGAUUGGAGAGAGAGAGAACCUGUAUUUUGAGUUUUUUCUUCUCGCCCUCGGAACGCUUGACGAGAUCGGCGACCAUACGGAAGCGUCGACGGCGGUUCUUGACGAUAGAGACGGCGGACCUCCACCGUCGCAAGGCUUCCUCCGAUGGAUUCUUGUGCUCCACAUCGAAGUCUUUCCAGUUCAAAAAUUUGUCCAUUUUCCCUCUGUUAUAGUGAGCGACGAAUAUAUGAGCGUCGAGACAGAGUUUCUUCUCCUCGAGUUUCAGUCAAAACUUUACACAAAAAAAUGAUCUUAACUUCAUAUCAACCAAAAAAUUGGGCGUUGAGUGUCAAUUGUCCGUACAUGAAUGCUCAUGUGAGUUCCCUAUUACCCAGUCGGGUCAUGACACGAGGACGAGGGUGAAAUAUAACUUUAAAAUCCCGCUUUUACCCCGCUUCUGCUUUCAAGACAAAAUGAGGAGAACAUAUUACCAAUUGUUUCCGUAAGACAAGAAAAGAUAUCUUGAUUGGAAGCUGAAAAGUGAUGGCGAUGGGAUCCAGAUUCCCCUUUUAUUUAAAGUAAUUAAAAAAAUUAAAUUCUAAUUUAUAAUUAAUAAAUAGAAAUUUAAUAAAACUAUUUUUUAAUUAUUUAGAAAAAAUUUCAAGGGUUAAAAAAGAGUUUAAACCAAUUUUAGUCUUUUUAGACGACUUAAACAAAAUAGGGUAGGAUAGAAAAUAAAUAAAUAAAAAUAAAAAUAAGUAUAAAAGUUAAUACCAACGAGACAUUUUACGGGACAAAAGUUAACUUAAAAUCAGUAUCAUAUAAUCUUUUAAUUGCUUGAUAACUAAAAAUUGAAUUAUAUAGAAAAUAAUAAUAAUUUUAGGUCGGUGUGAGUUAUCAAUGAUGUAACUUAAUAAGAAUUUAAUAAGAUCAUAUGGAAUAAAUUUACAUUAUUUUUUUUUGUUAUUAUUCCUUUUCUAUUGAAGUUAUUGUGAAAUAACAUUUAGGUGUGUACCAAGUAUUGCACCCAAACAUAUUAUUACGACGGAAUUAUAAACUCUUACAUUUUAGUUUUUACUACUUUUUCACUAAAAACAGUUAAUUGACUAUUAGUUGAAAUUUAAAAUAAUAAUUUUACAUUUGCUUUGAAAAUGUAAAAUCACAGGACUCAUUACAUAUAUGUUGACUUGUAAAAUAUCAAUUAAACUCUUGUUAAAUUAAAAAAUUAUUUUACCCUUAAAUUUAAAAUACUAAUAGAAAAAACUAACAAUUAUACCCAUGUUAAUUAUACACCUGCCAUUAAGAUGGUUUGUUGUGGAUACUUAGGUCAAGGGCAUUAUUGCUAUUUUAUAUGUCAAUAAAUGUGUAAGAAUAGAGCUAUUUAAACUUAUAAAUCUAUUUAUUAAGCUCCUUUUUCUUCUUAAUAAACCCAUUUUUUAAAUUCAAACAAGUGCAUAAUUAGUAUCUUAAAAGUCAAUUAGCGGUUAAUUGUUGGAAAAGUAGUAAAAUGUAAGAGUUUGCAAUUUAUUAAUAAUAAAAUAUUGGAAUGCAAUAUUUAUUACAUUUAAAUUUUAUUUUCCAAUUAUUUUAGUAGGAAAAAAAGAUAAUAACACUUUAAAAAAAAAAGAAUUUAGUCAAUUUACAUAAUUUUUUUUUCGAAGAAUUUACAUAAAAGUUAGUUCCAACGAAAAAGUUAGACUUUAUCAAAAGAAAAAAAGGAAGGAGGAAAAAAAAAGUUAAAAGAGAGAGAAGACUUUUGAAAGAACAUGAUUUCUCAAUUUUUUUUUUUUUUGAGUUUGGACUAUUGGCACAUUUUUAACAUUCUUUCUAAACCCCUUUUUUCUACAUAUUCUUCUUAAUUCCUAAAAUAACUCUCAUUUAUUAUAUACUCUCUUAAUAAACUCGUGCGUGAUACUUAAAAAAAAAUUAUUAGGCGUUUUCUCUCACCUUUCUCCUAUUUCAAACCACUUUCAAUCUCUUCUUAAUUAUAACAUUCAUGAAUUUAUAAUUUUUAUCUUUAUUUGUCGUUGUUUUUCCUAGUAGGUAAUAACUUUGGCAUAUACAUAAAGACAUGUGUGCGAAUUUUUUUUAAAAAUUGAUCUAAGUAAACAAACUUCACAAAAUUAUCUUUCCUGCAAAAAAUUUGUUUAUAUUUAUAUCAAAUUCUUAUUCUAUGACAAUUCAUUUUUUUAAAAUUUUUAUAGAUUUAAUGAGUUUAUAAUGGAAAAACAAAACAUAGGUGGGUUUAAUUAGAUAAGUUGUAUUUUUAAUAUAAUUUAAAUAUGAAGGAUAAAUUUAUAAAUAAAAAAUAAGAGGGGUUUCAUAAAAGAUAUAGAGGGUGCCAAUAGCGUCUGAUAAGACAUGAUUUCUCAAUUUGAAAUUAUAUAAUUUAUAUAACAUUGAAAGAAGUGGAAAAGAUGUGAUCAAUAUUAAAAACUGUGAUCCAAAAUGGACGGAUUCCACAUACAACAUUCAACAGUUGUCUUUACUUUAUCAUACUAUUUACCUGUUAUUCAAUUCCAAGAACAGGAAGAAAACAUUAGAUACCACCACCAAUGGUACCCAAUAAGUUUUUCUAUUGGAUUCCGUUUCAUUUUUGAAUUGAAACCUUUUUCCCUUUGUUAGAAUCUGAUUCCACUUGAUUGAAUUUAAUUGGAUUCAAUUGGUGGAACUAGAAUAAGGGGUAUAAACAAAUAUUCGUUGGAUUAUUUUAUUCGAGCGCACCAAUUAGUCAUUGAUAACCUCAACUCAUGUCCUAGCUCGUCUGAAAGCUAGAUUUGCCUCAAUUGUUAGUUUUUUGCCUUCAAUUUUCCUCAAGUUAGCUUAUGUAAUUUCAAGAGUUUACCAAGCUUCUCAAGGAUCAAUGGCACUACUCAUCUCCGCUUCUUAGAAUAACCAUUGGUUGUUGGAGUGGAUUCUUAGAAUAACUAUAUCUACAGUUGUGGCAAUAGACACUUAAUUUGGUAAUACAUUUAUUUGUCCUCUAUUAGUAGAUAAAAUGAUUCAUUUCACUUCUAAAUCCCAAACAAUUCAAUUAGGGAUUAAUACAAGAAGAUUUAAGGUUAUUUCUUUAAAUUACUCCCUAUUUUUAAGGUUGUAGCCUUAGCAAACAACUUCACGUAUGUUACUUACCAAAUAAAAGGCUUGCUCAGGAAGAUCAUCUAAUUCUCUAGAUAAGAUCGAUUUAAACCCUUAGUUUCAGCUAGAUAAAUUUAUUUCCUUAGGAAAGAGGUAAAUACAUCAGCUAUAAAAAAAAAAAAAAAAAUUUAAUAAGAAACGCUCAAUUAUUUUUGCCCCUACUACAGUUAAACGAUCUUCUUCAGACAAUUCGUCCAACCCAAGGAUAGCUAUGGUGUCCUCCUGUUCUUUGUAAGGUUAAAGUUUGUUUAACUCUUUUUUACUGUUUCAUGAUGUUACUUAACUUACUUGCCAAAUUGAUUGUCUUGGUUGUAACAAGGAGAAAAAUCAUAAGUUACAAAAGAAAAUGCCAAUAAACAAGCAUGGGCACACCCACAAAUUAUCAAAACAAGAAUUUUUGUAUCGAUUCAGGCGAUAAGUCCUGGGAGGUAAAAGUUGAACAAUGAAAAUUAUUUACCUACUAUCUAUUUUUUAUUAUUUUUUAAAAUAUAUAAAAUUGUUUUGACAGCGCUCUACUUAACGUUAAUAUUUUUUUAUUAGUCUACACUCGUUUUAAUACCAUUAAAACUUUGCUAACAUUAUAAGGAUAAAAUUAUCAUUUCACAAUGACACAGUAGUAGAUAAGUACAAAAUAAUAUAACUUCAAGUGGAAUUCAGUAAAAAAAAAAAAUUAAGAAUUACAUAUUUUUGAAAAAAUAUGAAAAAAAGUAGUCGGUAAAUAAUUUAUCUUUACAUUUAAGGGUAAAAAAAGUCAUUUUCAUAAUAUUUUAUUAGUUUUCUUAACGAUCUCCAAACAGAAGUGGACAAGUGAAAAGAAAUGUAACUUCACGUGGAUUCCAAUAAAAAAAAUAAUUAUGUAUUUUUGAAAAACCUCGAAAAAAUAUGUGGUCGGUAGAUGAUUUCCCGUUGAACAAAUAAUACCCAAAUUUCCUAAAACAUCGAUUACAUAAAUUUCCUCAAUGAAAGAGUAUAUGAGAAAAAUCUAAAAUUCAUGCUCAUCGCUAAUUUACAAGUGAACCAACGGACAAAAAGAGACCAACCAUCUAUAACAUGUAAUAUGCAUUUGGUAGCUAGGUUUGCUUUUUCAUAUCAUUUGUUUUAUAAAGGGUGAAAGGAACAAUGGUAUUCCAAGCAAAUAACCACUUUUGUAGAUUUUUUUUUGCCAAACUUCAACUACUCAAAUGGUCACGUCAAAUGAAUUAAAAUUUAUUAGGAAUUUUUAGUCCCAUCAAAGAUUUUUUAGGUAAAAAUAUCAAACAAAAAAUAAAUAGAAAAUAGAUGAAGAAUAAAGACCAAACACAAAAAUUUAUGUGAAAAAAUUCUUAUACCAGAGAAAAAUCACAAUCAUCAAUGAUGACGAGAGAAAAAAUUUAGUAGAUGAAAAAUUAUUACACUGAAUCUCUCAAUAGACCUACCGUUUCUUUUAUAUUUAAAAUUAUCUACUUGUAGAAAAAUUAAUUGAUGUGUUAUAUGAACAAAAGAAUCCAACCUCUCUAUAUAUAGUGAUUAUUUCUUAUGGAAAAAUUAUUCAUUUUCUUAAAUUUUAAAAAAAAAAUUUAUAACUCCUUAAAUAAGAAUCGUUGCAAGUAAGAAAAAUAUCCUAAUAAAUCCAAAUUUAUAUUACAAACAAGUUCGGGGUUGUCCAAAUUGAGAAGAAUUAAAUGGAGGUAAUAAAAUAAUGAUAAACAAAAAUAAAUAACCGUUGGAUGCGUUGUUGCUAUCAGUCCGCCGAUUAUUAAUAUUAAAGACAAAUAAGAGGUGCAAGAGUGAAGACACUCGGUACCCCACCGAUUUUGCUAAUGUUCAAAAAUAUGAAAUAUGCUAUAAAAGUUAAAAAGCAUCAAAUCAGAAAAGGAAGGCUGGUGACCAAUGCUACCUACAUAUAUGUACAAUGUCAAACUCUAUUGGUACAAAUUAAUUUUACAAUAUGAUAUUAUUAUUACCACAUAUAUUGUGUUUUUAAAAGAAUAAAAAACCAUUCCUCAAGCUGACCCAAAAAAAAAUAAAAAAAUAAAAAAAUUAAGUAAAUAGUGUAAUAAUGUUGACUCUUGACUCUACAAAUACCGCAUUUUAAAAAGAACAAUCUCCAUGCGUGACAACGAAACUCGCCUUAAAAGAAAACUCCUCAUGCGCAAAGUCGCACCGCCUAAACUCUUCCCCUUUCCGCACGCUUAAAAAAUCUCUUCCUUGUUAUUAUAUCCACAUUUAUAUUGUUGGCCACCUGCAAUUCCACGUGUAGCACCCGUUAAUGGUGGCAGGUAAAAAAUGAUUUCCAUGGUGUGGAAGUUUCAAUUUUCAUAGAAUAUUUAAAAAUGAAGAAAGAAAAAAGACAUCUCCAUGUGUUUUUGACCAUGCCGUUGGGAUAUCAUGAUUCAUGCCAUGGCCCAUGGGACAUGUUUUGUUUUUGGGUAAUGGGGUCAAUGGGAAGCAAGCAAGUUUUGUUCAAAGUUUUUUUUUAAUUUUUUUUGUCUUAACCACCAGGUUUAUAAUUCAAAUGAUAUUUGAACACCAACCCGGUCCACUUGACCGAAUUAUUUUCUGACAGUAUUAUUUAUUUUGUUUCGAGUCCGAGUUUUAAGAGAGUUAGGAGAUAUGAACUAAAAAAUUAAUUCGUAUUUUACUAAUUAUCCUAUUUUUUUCUUUUUCUUUUUCUUUUUUAAAGAAAAGACAAAUAUAUGAAAAAAAAAAAGUACGAUGUAUCAUUUUGGCUGCCAGUUGCUAUGAUGUUAUUGUACACUGAACGGUAACAUUGAGUCUGUUGCCCUUUGCUACCCAGUUGUUCAAAUAUUAGUGCUCUUGUUUUUAUAACAUUGUUUUAAGCUUUAACUAACAAUCUAAAUUGAUAUUGAAAUCAACCUACUUUAGCCUCCAGCAUCUUUAGCAUUUAUUAAUCUGCAGAAAACUUCUAACCCUUUAACUCAAUCGGGUCAGAUCUUUAUGGGUGAUCUAUUAUUGCAUGCUGCAACAGAUGAAACCAACCAUCAGUGUAAGACAACUCCAGCUGUCCACUUAAAAGUCGCAAACAUUUUAGCUUUAGACAAAAGAAUGCCCCGAAAAUUUGAAUAUGGAAUAUAAAUCAUUCAUUGCAGAAAUUUGGAAAGAGAUGAAACAACUCUUCAUAAGGUAAUGGUAUUUUCAUGUCAAGUUAAAUUAUGAGCUCAAUUGAAUUACUUUCGGCUGCGACCCUUUUUCUAGAACAAAGGGUAGGGCAUUGAGGGUGUUCAAAAAGAUGGUAGAAUUUUCAGGCACAUACCAGUAUAUUGUCAAAGUCACUCAGCUUUUGGCUACCAUGAAUUUAAGCUUUUGCAACCAGUUCACGUGUUGAUCUUGCUGUACAUGGAGGAGAAGAUAGUUGGUUAAGUGUUCUCCAAUUCCUCUGGCAACUAGAUAUUCCUUGAGCGCGACUUGUAAUUGAGGGUCCAAAGAACUGCAAAUGCAUUACUUUCAAGAAAGGUGAUUAUGUAACCAAAGAACUCAAUGGGACUCCAGAAUAAUGAAACACAACGAUGAUUUCAGUAAAACAAGUCUGUUCUGUCUUGUGAUAUUUGAGAACAAAUACAAAGAUUAUGCGAUAGCCAGGGCCAAGCCUUACACUGAGAAGAAGUUGAUGAUUGUUGGAGUUUUUUAGUUUUUUUUUUUUUAAUUCUGUUGGAGUUAUUUAGUUAGUUUUUGUUUAAUUGUAUCUAUUCAGCAUAAUCCCCAGUUGUGUCUGAGUCAACGAACAUGAAAUACUGCAAUAAUGAUAAUCAAAUCUUCUUAAUUUCAUUAAUGAGACACAGCACCCUACACAGUUCUAUUAUAUACAAUAUCAUCGGCACCCCUUAUUACGAUGACAAGCACAGGAAAGGGCAUCCAAUUGAAGAACCAUGCUAUCAUUUUUCAGCUAAAAUUAAUAUAACAUUUACAUUGUGAGUAUCUUUUCACUUCAAAACUUAAUCAUGGCGUUGAAGUUUGGGUUCACACUUUUUAACCGGGACGCACUUUAUCACAGCUGCAAUGGGCAUGCUACCUGCUCCGAUUAAGAUGCACAGAAGCCAUAGUUGCCAGCUAAGUGGCACAGUGCUUGCAAAUGCUCCGAGGAACUCGACUAUUAUUAUUUGAAAAGCCACUGUUAAAACUAAUAUUCCUACGAACAUCCAGCUGUCGAACAUGCCUUUGAACACAUUUAUCUUCUCCAUGUCCCGACUAUUUAUUUCAUUGAACACCUAAUGUAAAAUACAAAAGGAAAAAAUAAAUAAAUAAAUACCAUUCUCAAUAAUCAUUUAGUAUAAGAAGUUGGUCAAGGGGAUGAAACGAGAAGCAAUAAGCUAAAUCCGAGCAUAGUACCUGGAAAAACACGAAGGAGUUGAAUAUCACCGUAUUGAGUACAGCACUGGCAUCUGAACCACUAAGCCGCAGUAUCUGCUUCCCGUCAAAAUUGAGAACUACCAGGAUGAUUAGCUGAUAAAUGCUCUGACCAAUUAUGUUCCUCCACAUGACCUUGGUGAUGAAACUUUCACCCUUCGCAACAGGGGGCCUUUUCAUUAAUCCUUCAUGAGGAGGUUCUGUAGCCAGUGCUAGUGCUCCAAGAGUGUCCAUAAUCAUGUUGACCCAAAGCAAUUGUACAGCCGUGAGAGGAGCAGAUCCUGAAAGUUAAGUGGAAGCUCAUGUUGAUUAUUUGUAAUAAGCGUACUGGUACUAUACAAGUAAAACAAGUGAACAGUGUAAAAGACUAACCUGAGGCACAUGCAGAAACGAAGUUGAUCACAAGAGCGACAACAUUAACUGUUAACUGGAACUGCACAAACUUCUGAAUGUUUAUAUAUACUGCACGUCCCCACUUGGCAACAUUUACAAUCGUUGAAAAAUUAUCAUCUAAGAUGAUAACAUCAGCAUUUCCUUUGGCAACCUGUAAACAGCAUGCGCUUUAGGUUAUCAGUACUAUGAAACCAGGAAAAACAUCAUUAGACCUGCAUUAACCAUCUAGAUGGAUUAAACUGAGUGCAAUUCCAAAGAAUCUCCCCUCAGGUUAUAGCAGUUUAAAAGCCUGUUUGGGGGAUUUAUAACAACAAGACCAAUCAUACCCUAGACGAGAAGUCAGUCUCCUUACAAGCAAGCAAAUGGGUGAAGUCUAGUAGCAGGUAUCCAUGAGCAGGAAUUUUCUGCUCGGCCACGAGGACGAGAUAGUCUCCUGCUAGGAGUCGACAGCUUUCCCUGUUGAAGAUCGAGGUCAGCAGACCCAGUCUAUAGCGGUUAACGAAACGCGCACUCCUAUUCGAGAAUCUAGGCACGAAACCCACUCAGCCACAACUACGACAUUCAAGCAUCCACUUCCGUGAGUUGGGGAAAGUGAUGGGUAUGAAUCGUGGGGGAUCGGAUUCACAUGAAGGCUAUAAAAAGGUAAUCAACGAAGGUAAACAAGUUAGACAUUUUGACAUUAGAACUUAAGAAAAAGCAUCUUUAGGGAGAAAGGAGAGAAAAGCUCAGAGUCAUUUUUUACUGCCUAAGAGACCAAAAAAAUAGCCACGAGAUCAAUGGCCGAGUUUCCCAAAAAAGUAAACCGAAUUUUCUGACUUGAGUGUCGGAGGGUUUAUGCCGGGGAAACUCCCGGCGUGCUUUAACCAGUUUAUGUGUGCGCAAGAGUCUACUGAAGUUGAAGUCAUACGAGGUGUUGUUCUGCUCGGUGAGAAGAGUUACGAGGAGAAUCUACAGUUAGUCGAGAGUUUGAGAGUUAAGGAAAGAUCCUGGUCGUGCAAGAGCAGACACCAGAAUCUCGCAUCAACAUUUUGGCGCCAUCUGUGAGGAGUUGGACAAAAAGCUUUCGUUAAUAGAGAAGAGAAUGAGAAAAGGAGUGAGGAGACAAUAGACGUAGGUGGGGGUAGCGCCUAAGGAGCUUAUUUAAGACUGAAUGAGUCUGUGACCCUGAGAGAGAUAGCUAAUGAAGCAUGACAAAAAGUAAUGUAUGAGCAGAUGGAAAUGAUAGAGAAACAGAUGGAGACUCUGACAACCAUCUUACACGAGCUGAGAAAUGAGCGAAGGGGAGUUCAAGAGAAGGGGAUGAGAAGUGGUGGAAUGGCACCAGGGCACAUUUACAGAAGGAACAACGACAACACGAUGAGAGGUCGUACCACUAGGAGAUUUGGUGGUGAAGUAAGUAACUAAUCUCUACGGGGAGAAAGUCAUGGAGGAAGAGAUCAAUCCCUGGGGAGGCAGGUCUUUAACAAUGAUGAUGGAGUUGUUAAUACAGAGGAAAGGGAACUUCGGCAACACCUGCAUGACAUCGAGCAAGAAAGAGAUCAAGUUGCAACACGUGACCUUGGUCAUGCCAUACAACUAGAGGAGGAAGUGCGUAGAUUAACGGAGAUAAUAGAUGACAUGCAAGGACGUAGCAGAGCACCUGGCUGGAGGAUAAUGCUAGAUGGUGAAUCCCCCAUCUCGGCAGAAAUCAUGAACGCAAUCAUUUCGAGGGAUUUUUGCUUCUCAGACUUCAAAUACUCUAGGAGAACUGAUCCAUUGAUAAACAUAGAGCGCUUCAAUGAUAUAACUAGGGUGUAGGGGUUGUCUCAAGUUCAAAGGUGCAGGGUGUUUCUACUGUCUCUAGAGGGACGAGUAUGUGAGUAGUACCGGAAGCUUCCUCGAGGGGGUAUCAAGUCAUUCGAGCAGAUGUGCUAGGAAUUUACAGAGCAAUUUCGGGGGUAAUGACACAUGAAGAUGAUAUGAUGGAGUUGACAAGCAUGAAGUAAAGAGAGGAUGAAACCCUUCGGAAGUUCAUCAAAAGGUUCCAUCGCGCUGUCUUCAAUUUAGGAGCAUUCAACCAUCCCCAAGUAUUGAGGGGACUAAAAGAAAGGGUAAGGAUAUAGCGCCUGUGGUACAAUUUGAGAAGUCUAGCCAUUCAGUCAUAUUCUACCGCUUACGAGCAGGCCAAGAGAGACAUAGAGAUUAAGGAGGAAAAAGCAGCAAAGAUCAAGACAGACCAGCUAGAAGGGUUGAGGAGAAAAGAGAAGAGAGUCCCACCAGGAAAUGGGUCGAUUAAGAGGAAGGACCACCAUGCCUCAGGUAGCAGUGCAUGAGGUUGGGUCACCUCUUACCAGCCUAACUAGAGGCCAGCCCAAUAUUAGCGUAGCGGGAUGCAACCUCCUCGCUCACCAGCUAGAGAUUUCUGGAUAAGGCAUAACCAAACAUACAAUCAUCCUUAUCAAUACCCAUGCGGUGGUAGAGCGAGUAGACUAGAGGCACUAAUGCCCCCUCUAGUUUAGAAUGGCACCUGUAGGGAAAGGGCGGUGCACAUGAUUGACUAGAGCCAAGAUAAUGAGCAGUAUACUUCCUUGAAUGUACCACUGGACGAGGUGUAUGAGGCCAUAAAAGAACAAGGAUUACUGUACACCCUUAUUCCAAUAACAAAGCUACUCAGCAGGAGAGAUAGGAGAUGGUAUUGCAAGUUCCAUAGCACUCACGGUUAUACCACGACCGAAUGCAGGGAUCUUAAGACUCAAGUUGAAGAUUUGGUGAGAAAUCGUUACCUAGACGAGUUCGUAGAUUGGGCCAUCCUGAUGUUGGGUUCGUCAUGUGAAGGGGAACAUAAUAAUAGAAACAUGAGCCACGAGUAGCCGGUGGUAAGAGUAAUUGCAGGGGCCCAACGUUGGCGAGAGAUUCUAACAAAUCGAGGAAGAACUACGCUAGGUAUGCCAUGACUAGUAGAGAAGUGUUCUUCAACACCCCAACAGCCAAGCGAGUAAGAAUCAGGCAAGUCCCGAUCAUGUAGACAAAUGAGGACGAAGAAGGAAUUUUAUAUCCGCAUGAGGAUGCUUUAGUCAUUAAAGCCACCGCUGCCAGCAAGAAGUUUGACUGGAUUCUGGUAGAUACAGAAAGCUCGGUCGAUGACAUGUUCAAGUCAACUCUGGAGGAGAUGGGAAUAGCAGACCUGAGAUUAGAGCACACCAAUACCUCAUUGAAGGGGUUUGGUGGAGGAAAGCUAGUCCCUUUGGGCGUAGUCGAGUUGCCUGUCACGAUAGACAGCUCCCCGACAGAAAAGAUUAUGAUCCUGGAUUUUGUAGUUGUCAAUGAAGAGAGUCCCUACCAGAUGAUUCUAUGUUGUCCCUUCCUGCGGAUGAGCAAGGCAGUGCUCUCUAAUCAUUACUUAGCUCUCAAGUAUCGGGUGAAUGGAGUAAUGCGGGUAGUACGAGGAGACCAGAGAAUUGCCCGAAGCUGUUACUCCAAAACAGUAAGGAAAACAAUGCAGAUCACAUCACUUGAUACUCGAGUGAAGAUCAAGAAUGGCAGACAAAAGUCGGUUGAGGAGCUGGAAACGGUAAACUUGGAACAAGCUGAUUCGGGAAAAACAAUUCGAAUCGGGUCGAGACUUAAAGGAGAGCAGAAGUAGGAGCUAAUGCAUUGUCUGCGAGCUUACGCAGAUGUGUUCGCUUGGACACAUGGGGACAUGCCGGGAAUCGACCUUGAAGUGGCCUGCCACAGGUUAGCAAUAAGGAAGGGUGCUCGGCCUGUAAAAUAAAAUAGAAGAUGCUUUAACUAGAAGAGGUACGAAGCAAUAAAUAGUGAAGUAGAGAAGCUCUUGAGGGCGAGAUUUAUUCGGGAAAUCAACUACUCUGAAUGGAUAUCGAAUGUUAUUCUAGUAAAAAAGGCUAAUGAAAAAUGAAGAAUGUGCGUUGAUUUCACUGACCUUAACAAUGUGUGCCCGAAAGAUGGUUUUCCCUUACCAAAGAUCGACUAGCUAGUUGACUCAAUAGCCGGUCAUGGGUUGCUUAGCUUCAUGGAUGCAUUUUCGGGAUAUAACCAAAUCCCAAUGUACGAGCAUGAUGAGGAGAGCAUGGCGUUUAUCACUAACCAAGGUUUUUUCUGUUACAGCGUAAUGUCAUUUAGUUUAAAGAAUGCGGGUGCCAUAUACCAGAGGUUGGUGAACAAAAUCUUUAAGUCGUUGAUUGGGAGAACGAUGGAGGUUUACGUGGACGACGUGAUAACCAAGUCAAAGAACCCGAAUGAACAUGUAGAGCACCUCAAGGAGACAUUUGGGCUUUUGAGGAAAUACAAGAUGAAGCUCAACCCGGAGAAGUGUGCCUUUGGGGUCGAGUCAGGAAAAUUUCUUGGACUCAUAGUGAGCCAUCGGGGGAUCGAGGCGAACCUAGAAAAGAUCCAAGCAAUCAUGCAGAUGAGAUCCCCUCGCAACCUGAAGGAGAUACAGAGCCUUACGAGGAAGUUGGCAGCACUGAGUCUGUUCGUAUCCAAGGCGAUAAAUAAGUGCCAAGCUUUUUUUUCAAGUGAUAAGGAAUGGAAGGAAAACAGAAUGGACCCCCGAAUGUGAAGAAGCCUUCCAGAACUUGAAACAGGAUUUGCAGAGAGCACCUUUGUUGUCCACGCCGCAGGAAGGGGACGUGCUCUUUCUAUAUAUGGCGGUAUCAGAUCAUGCAACGAGCUCGGUUCUAGUGAGAGAGGAAGAAGGCGUUCAGUAUCCAAUAUAUUAGACAAGCAACGCGCUGCUCGACGCCGAGACUAGAUACCCACCGUUGGAGAAAUAGGUAUUUGCUCUUGUGGUUGCUGCUCAAAAGCUGAGACCAUACUUUCAAGCAUUCCCCGUCUCGAUAAUAACAAACCAACCUUUGCGAUAGACUCUGCACAAGCCGGAUGCUUCUGGUCGACUAGUGAAAUGGGCCAUGGAGCUGAGAGAGUUUGAUAUAAGCUAUACACCCCGAGUAGCGAUAAAAACCCAAACAAUGGCGGACUUCGUGGCAGAAUUCACAGAGCCCGAAGUGGGUUUCGACCAGCUAGGUGCUGCUAUAGUCAACGACGAAGAUCGGGUCUAGCAAGUAUCGGUGGAUGGAUCCUCUAGAGAACAUGGUUCUGGAGCAGAGAUUAUUUUGGAGGGCCCAGAAGGGGAGGAGAUCUCUUAUGUAGUAAGAUUAGAGUUCACAAUUACAAAUAACCAGGCAGAAUAUGAAGCUUUAAUAGCGGGGUUGGAAUUGGCUAAGGCAGUGAACGAUAGUUGCUCGUUACUACAACCAGAAGAUGCGUGUACGAUAGUUCAAGGUUGGCAAUUGGGUACUCAGGAGGGUAAAUCAAAACACAAAAGACUCAACAUAAGGAGUACUCAGUCCUAAUUGAGAAGGGCUAUACAAAGUCAAACAUGUGGCUGGACCCGGAGCCUAUAAGCUCGUCCGUGCAGAUGGCCACGAGGUGAAACGACCGUGGAGCACAGCACAUCUCAAGAAAUAUUUCCAGUAAGAUCCAAUUACACUUAAGAGUUAUUUAUUUCCUAUUAUCGUUUAUUUCAAUUUCAUGUAAGUCGAGUUCAGUAAUCAAUAGAACGUGGAGGAAUUUCAUUUAGUUGUCACCGACCACGCGAAGGCAAGCAGACCACCAAAGUUCCAAAAAGUUUCUAAGGCAUGAAAAGGCUCAAAAGUCUCAAAGCCUGUUUUAUGGCGAGACAGGAAGUCAAGCAUGCCAGGAUCUGCUCGACCAAGCUAAGACGAGCAGACAACUAAAAGUUUCAAUAAGUUUCUAAGGCAUGCAGAGCCAAGUCUCCUAGCAUCUGCUCAAUCAAGUGUAAGCGAGCCAAAAAAAAAAAACAAGAGUAUGUGAAGCAAGCAAACGAACUGAGGAGUUUUAUUAAUUUCCCAACAAAAGUAAAGAACAACUAAUAUCGACAUACAAUGUUCCAAAAGGAAAUCCACAAUACAAAAUACAAUUAAGAAGGCGGGGGAUCAGUAAGCGGAGUCAUUUCCGCUGGUUGGUCAACUUCAGGAGCAGGGGGUCUCACUGGUUGCGCCCGGAGGAGUACUUGCCUUGGCAACAUCAGUAAGGGUUGCACGAGGAGGAGAAGUUGCCUCCUCGGAUGCAUUUGGAUCUAACUCUUUACCAUUUUCUUUGGCUGCCUCUUUGUCCAUAUAUUCAGCAACACUAGCGGCAAGCUCAUCCAUCUUUAGAUCAGGAUACUGCUUCCCGAGAACGGCCAUGAUGCGCCGAUAAAAAAGCCGAAACCCCUGGUCGUACUGGUUGUCAGCUUCUUUCUCUAAGUUUUCGACAUGAGUCUAGUGAGAAGCACUCAGGGAUUCGAGCUGAGUUUCAUAGGUAGCUUUCUGCGUUUACAAGUCCUCUUUAACCUUAUUCAUCUCUUCUUCAAGAGUGAUAGCCUUUGCCUGCGCGAGGGACUCUCGCUCAAUCAACUUAAUAUUCUCAAGGUUGAGAUCUCCAACUUUCUUCUCUGCAGCGCCAGCUUUGCUUUUGGCCGACUGAAUGUCUUUUUUCAUUCUUCUAUCGUAACGGCCGACCUUCGCUUUAUAAUAAGUGGCCAUACAAUCGAAAUGAAAGGCACUGAACUGUAUAGCCCCGACCAGCUCGCCUAGAGUGCUACCAUCAAAUUCCUCAAAGUCUUUCUCGCUCACGAGCUUAAAAAACUCGCUGAUGUAAGGGAUCAACUCUGGUCGAUUAUCGUGCAAACGAGGUUUUAGGCCUGUACGUAGAGGCGGAGAAGUGGGAUCAGUGCCAUUGGCAGUCCCACUAGUUUCGCCGGCCUUGGGAGGAGGAGGAGGUGAUAGAGUCUUCAAAAGGGCGACCUGCUCCACAGUGUUGACCCAUUUGCCAAGAGGAGCAUCCUUAUGGUGAUCUUGCUUAGCAGCAUUGAGAUGAGGACGCUGUGAUUGUUUUCUGUUCAUAGCCCCGAUUACAGCGUCCUCCAUCUUGAGGUUGGUGGAUAUCGGGCGAGAUUGGAGCAAGUUAUAAGUGGACAACAAUUCUCUGCAUGAGCAGGAAUUGGCCAACACAGUCUCGACCCGCUUGAGCACGUCAAGCUUGAGUUUGUAGUGGACGCCCCAGGAACCUAUAGCUCGAGCAAAGACAGUGUCAAAGAUAGGUCAAUCAUGAGACCAACUAGGGGUACAAGACAUCUAAAACAAGCGGGCUACCUGGAACUACGAAACGGGAGGGGACGAGAACAUUCUCCCCAUCAAUCUGUGUCACUUGACCCUAAGGACCCCUAGUGAAAAAGAAUUAUUUUCUUCCAAUUCCCACCACCACUUGUUGGAAGAUCAGUUAUGAGUUUCCUGGUCUUGGUGCUUGACAUGAAAUAAUACCAACCGGCGUCUUUAAGGCUACUCUUUAACUGUUAUAGGUGUUUGACCUCAUCAACCGUGGGCUCACUCUGAUAGCAUCUGCUCCACAAAAUGAACAGACCAGAAAGUAAUCUCCACCCGUUAGGGUUAAGCUGACCAGGAGUUAAGUGCAACCCACUAAGCAUCUGGAUGAAAUAAGGUUGUAAGGGCAGCCUGAUCCCAAAUUUAAAGCUUUUCAGAAACAUAGUAACAUAUCCCCUAGGAGGUCACUGGGAGUAUUAUUUUUACCUAGAACCCUAAGAGGUAUACCAUCAGGGAUGUCAUAAAUAGUUUGAAGAUCUAUAAGGUCUUCUAUUGUGGUCAUACAGAUCGUGAGGUCAAUAACAUAAUUUUUUGCCAGAGCUCUACCCCCUAGGUUCCUCUUCCUUUCUGGUUGUGAUACCCCAGGUGAGGAUGCUUCACCAGAGUCUUCACUCGGGUCCUCACUUAGAGUAUCCUCCGAACCAGAAGACCCGUCAUCGUCGCUAUUUGAAGUGGUUACUUCAGGAGACAUUCUCCUAGCACUAUUCCCUAAACUAGAUCUUAUCAGUUCUAAAGGAAUCUCGGGGUCAAAAGCGGGAUUAGUAAGUAGACUAGAUAGGAAGUCUAACUCGUCAUCGCCAACCUCAAUCACUUUCUCUUUGCCUUUUGACAUUCCUUAAACUCUAUCCGAAAUGACACAACCGAACCCCAUUCAAAAUAACAACAAAAAUCCAAAGUUGGGAAGGAGAAAACAGUACUUGAAGUAGUGAAGCACCAUAACGAAAAUAAGAACGGUAGUUUGAAUUUUGGAGAUGAAAGGAUCACCGGCCGUCGGAAGAUGUGAAAGAGAUUGGAUGAGGAAAAGAACACUUUAGAGAGUUAGGGUUUUGAAGUGACGGUGAUGCUUUCGGUUUAUUGCCAUUCAAAUAGCACGUGCUCCGAGGGUUCCACAAUCGUCAAUUUGAAGUUCAAACGGGUGGACGUAUUCCUGCUGCCUCUUCUACAUUUAAUUGCGAAAUGACUCUUCAAGGAAACAGCCUGUUAGUGGCAAAAGGGGAAACGACUAAGCGGGAGUGAGCAAUAUCCUUAUUUCUUACAGCCAAGUCAGAUGUGCCUCGAGAAAGCCCAGACUAAUAAAGUUUCUAGUAUUAAUCUAUUGCAUUGCAAAUACCAGAAACUGGGAGACUAGUGUUUGGGGAUUUAUAACGAUGAGACCAACCAUACCCUGAACGAGGAGUCAGCCUCUUUACAAGUGAGUAGAUGGGUAAAGUCUGGUAGCGGGUAUCCACGAGCAGGAAUUUUUUGCUCGCCCACGAGGACGAGAUGGUCUCCUGCUAGGAGCCGACAACUUUCCCUGCUAAAGAUCGAGGUUAGCAGACACAGUCUAUAGUGGUUAACGAAAUGCGCACUCCUAUUCGAGAAUCUAGGCACGAAACCCACUCAGCCACAAUUACGACAUUCAAGCAUCCACUUCCGUGGGUUGGGGAAAGUGAUGGGCAUGGAUUGUGGGGGAUCGGAUUCACAGGAAGGCUAUAAAAAGGUAAUCAAUGAAGGUAAACGGGUUAGACAUUUUGACUUUAGAACUUAAGAAAAAAUAUCUUUAGGGAGAAAGGAGAGAAAAGCUCAGAGGUAUUUUUUAAUAAACUUGUUUUGUUCAGCUGAGAUUUUGCACUACUCCAAAAUCUUAUAUAAUCAUCAGUUAUAUGUUGGUUUUCAAAGUAAAUACACAUAUAUAAUAUGUAAACACUAACCUCUGUCCCUGCUAUGCCCAUUGCAAGUCCAAUAUCUGCUUCAUGCAAAGCAGAAGCAUCAUUGGUUCCAUCACCAGUCACUGCAACAACCUCCCCAAAUGUAUUCCUCAACUGAGUUACCAAGGUGUGCUUGUCCGAGGGCAAAGAACGAGCCAUUACCUGUAUCCAUAAUAAACAGUCAUAAAAGUAUUAGCACCUUCUUGUGCAUAUAGAUUCAGAUUUUAACUUCAUUAUGUUCAGUUCGAUAAUAUAUAACCUGAAGCUUUGGUAUGAUAUCAGCGGGAGACAUGUUACGAAAUUCUGGUCCUUCCACAGCCUCACCAUCUGAUGUAAGUAUGCCACAUUCUUUAGCUAUUGCUCUAGCUGUAUUUAUAUUAUUACCAGUGACCAUGCGAACAGUAAUUCCAGCCUCUAAACAAGUUUGAACCGCCUCCUUGACUCCAGGACGCACGGGAUCCUUAAUUCCAACAACUGCUAUUAAUGUAUAGCCACUGUCAGGGAUGUUGUUUUCAUUAGAAGAAUCAUUUAGAUCUUUAAAAGCCAGGCAGAGAGUUCUCAGAGCUUCAGAUGCGAAGCCAUUUAUUACAUCAGUGAUAUUCCUGAAUUGCUCUUCAGAUAAAGGUACCGGUUCUCCGUUGUCAGAAACCACUUUGUCACACAUACUUAACACUAUUUCUGAAGCCCCUUUGCAGAAAGCUCGCAUCCCACCCGCUGGAAGAGCAAUAAGCACGGACAUCUUCUUCCUAACCGAAUUAAAAGGCUCAACC